CGAAAAUUUAAUUGCAGACUACCUCUCAAGAAAAAGAUAUGAUGAAAGAUCUACUGGCAAUGAUGACAAAUCUAUGCCAAAAAGUAGAAAAGAUAGAAAUAGAAGUAAAGGAGCUGAAAGCUAACGGUCAGCAGCAUGACCAAAAACAUGCGGAGCUACGUCGUACGGUUGACGGAAAACAGCCAGAGAUAGAAGGAAAUGAUGGGAAACUCCGGAAAACCCAUAACAAUGUUUGUUCAGAUACAGCCAAAAAUCACAAAUGCAGAUACCAGCAGAACCACAAACAUCAACCUAUGCAGUAAGCCGACUAAGUUUUAGAUUGUUGAUGG
rnacentral:misc_RNA from 1 species